GGCCCAGCAGCGUCUCAGCAUGCUGUUAGCUUCCAUCACUAGCUGUGUUAGUGUUUAAUCAGACACACUGAACACACAGCAGCUCUGUGACCUUCCCUCGCUGCAGCACGUCUCUAACAUUCCAGAUGGUGGCGGUAAUGCACCUCUAAGAUGGUUUGCCAACUGCCAAUAAACACCAAAGAAGAAGCAGAAGAAGCUGGGGCAGGGGCUGGAUGGCCAAAACGGUUCCAUAACCUCCACUACAGCAGUGCGAGGCCCAGUCAUCACCAGUCUGGAGACUGUCCUGUAGUCCAGGUAGAGGACACACUGUCCAUUCACCUGGCACACAAACUGACGCACCUAAAGAAGAUGAUAAGAGCAGCGGUUGCAGGGCUUCCAGGGUCAACGGCCUGCACGUAACAGGGGGCCAUGCCUCUGACAACAAAGCCCCAGCCCAGGUCAUCUCCUAUCACCUGUGAUGGCAGGAAGGAUUGGUUCUCACUGAAGUUGAAGACAGCUGGACGAGAGGUGGAAACCCAGCAGAGUGAAGCUGAAGGGAGUUCAAGCUGCUUCGACACCCACUGAAAACGCUGAAGGAACAGCUGGAUAUACAUUAUAGGGAGGCUCAUCAGAAGCAGCUCAGCCGACUCGGUGACAAGAUCGAUGCUGGAUGAACUCAGAAUGAGCAGAGAUUCUUGAUCAUAACUGAAGAUGACAGAGUUUGUUCACCUUCUUCUACUACCUAUUACAGCAAAAAAGUCUGAUCUUUUGUACAGAAGAUUUAACUUUUACGUUCAUCCUAGUGUUGAAAAUGUCCCAACAGACAGUCACCUGAUAUUAAAGUCUAUAAACAUAUUUUUCAACUAAACCGCAUAAAAUCUGAAAUGUGUUUUCUUUGAGUGAACAGUUUUCUUUAAUUUCUUGCUGUACCUCUCCUCUUGUGAUCCAGUGUUGAUGUAAUAAAAGUUUACUAUAAAAAUCAA